GACCUCGCGUCUCCUGCCCGCAAACCGAACCCCGGCGCGGAACGCGCCAAGGAAAUCUAACCAAGAGAGCCAUGCCGGAGGCCCCGGACACGGUGUGCCCCCGGCGUCGGCGUCUUAUGAAUUAUUCAAAACGACUCUCGGCAACGGAUAUCUAGGCUCUCGCAUCGAUGAAGAACGUAGCGAAAUGCGAUACUUGGUGUGAAUUGCAGAAUCCCGCGAAUCAUCGAGUUUUUGAACGCAAGUUGCGCCCGAAGCCAUUCGGCCGAGGGCACGUCUGCCUGGGUGUCACGCAUCGUUGCCCCCCCAAACUCCGGUUCGGGCGGGGCGGAAGUUGGCCUCCCGUGCGUGCCCGCGCGCGCGGUUAGCCCAAAAGCGAGUCCUCGGCGACGAGCGCCACGACAAUCGGUGGUAUUUUUGCCCUCGUUCCUCGUCGUGCGUGCCCCGUCGCCCGAACGUGCUCUUACGACCCUCACGCGUCGCCUCGGC
rnacentral:rRNA from 1 species